rnacentral:misc_RNA from 1 species
UAAUCUGUUGCCUGUAAACGAAAAAACCCACGUUCUCAGGCGUGGGUUCUUUCGAAGGUUAGAAGUUUCUCAGGCUUUCUAACCCGAGGUAACAGGGUGUACAAGACCGCUGCCACCAAAUCUGUCCUUUCAGUGUAGCCGCAGUCGGUCCUUCACUUCAAGAACUACGUAUCAGCAAUUUCUUGUACACCCUCUACCAGUGGCUGCUGCCAGUGGCGUUAAGUCGUGUCUUACCGGGUUGGACUCAAGACGAUAGUUACCGGAUAAGGCGCAGCGGUCGGGCUGAACGGGGGGUUCGUGCACACAGCCCAGCUUGGAGCGAACGACCUACACCGGGCCGAGAUACCAACAGCGUAAGCUAUGAGAAAGCGCCACGCUUCCCGAAGGGAGAAAGGCGGACAGGUAUCCGGUUAACGGCAGGGUCGGAACAGGAGAGCGCACGAGGGAGCUUCCAGGGGGAAACGCCUGGUAUCUUUAUAGUCCUGUCGGGUUUCGCCACCUCUGACUUGAGCAUCGGUUUUUGUGAUGCUCGUCAGGGGGGCGGAGCCUAUGGAAAAACGCCACCGGGGCGGCCUUUUCCAGGUUCUUGUUUUUUGCUCUCAUGUUUCUUUUGGCGUUAUCCCCUGAUUCUGUGGAUAACCGCAUUACCGUCUUUGAGUGAGCUGAUACCGCUCGCCGCAGCCGAACGGCCGAGCGUAGCGAGUCAGUGAGCGAGGAAGCGGAAGAGUGCCUUAUGUAUCAUUUUCUCCUUACGCAUA